AACGAACGCUGGCGGCAUGCCUAACACAUGCAAGUCGAACGAGACCUUCGGGUCUAGUGGCGCACGGGUGCGUAACGCGUGGGAACCUGCCUUUAGGUUCGGAAUAACUCCCCGAAAGGGGUGCUAAUACCGAAUAAUGUCUUCGGACCAAAGAUUUAUCGCCUUUAGAUGGGCCCGCGUUGGAUUAGCUAGUUGGUGGGGUAAAGGCCUACCAAGGCGACGAUCCAUAGCUGGUCUUAGAGGAUGAUCAGCCACACUGGGACUGAGACACGGCCCAGACUCCUACGGGAGGCAGCAGUGGGGAAUAUUGGACAAUGGGCGAAAGCCUGAUCCAGCAAUGCCGCGUGAGUGAUGAAGGCCCUAGGGUUGUAAAGCUCUUUUACCCGGGAUGAUAAUGACAGUACCGGGAGAAUAAGCUCCGGCUAACUCCGUGCCAGCAGCCGCGGUAAAAC
rnacentral:rRNA from 1 species